rnacentral:rRNA from 1 species
GACGAACGCUGGCGGCGUGCUUAACACAUGCAAGUCGAACGGAAAGGCCCUGCUUUUGUGGGGUGCUCGAGUGGCGAACGGGUGAGUAACACGUGAGUAACCUACCCUUGACUUUGGGAUAACUUCAGGAAACUGGGGCUAAUACCGGAUAGGAGCUCCUGCUGCAUGGUGGGGGUUGGAAAGUUUCGGCGGUUGGGGAUGGACUCGCGGCUUAUCAGCUUGUUGGUUGGGUAGUGGCUUACCAAGGCUUUGACGGGUAGCCGGCCUGAGCGGGUGACCGGCCACAUUGGGACUGAGAUACGGCCCAGACUCCUACGGGAGGCAGCAGUGGGGAAUAUUGCACACUGGGCGGAAGCCUGAUGCAGCAACGCCGCGUGCGGGAUGACGGCCUUCGGGUUGUAAACCGCUUUCGCCUGUGACGAAGCGUGAGUGACGGUAAUGGGUAAAGAAGCACCGGCUAACUACGUG